rnacentral:rRNA from 1 species
AAUCUUCCGCAAUGGACGAAAGUCUGACGGAGCAACGCCGCGUGAGUGAUGAAGGUUUUCGGAUCGUAAAACUCUGUUGUUAGGGAAGAACAAGUAUCGGAGUCACUGCCGGUACCUUGACGGUACCUAACCAGAAAGCCAAGGCUAACUACGUGCCAGCAGCCGCGGUAAUACUUAGUUGGCAAGCGUUAUCCGGAAUUAUUUGGCGUAAAGCGCGUGCAGGCGGUUUCUUAAGUCUGAUGUGAAAGCCCGCGGCUCAAACGUGGAGGGUCAUUGGAAACUGGAAAGCUUGAGUGCAAAAGAGGAGAGUGGAAUUCCAUGUGUAGCGGUGAAAUGCGUAGAGAUAUGGAGGAACACCAGUGGCGAAGGCGACUCUCUGGUCUGCAACUGACGCUGAGGCGCGAAAGCGUGGGGAGCGAACA